UGACAGGUUUUUCUGAAAACCAAAAAUACAUAAAACAGAAAAUCA
rfam:Fukomys damarensis contig121716, whole genome shotgun sequence.